rnacentral:misc_RNA from 1 species
UGCGGAGGAUCAUUAUCGUACAACCGAGGUGCGGAGGGCUGUCGCUGACUUUUGUCGUGCACGCCCAAAGUGCUCUCAAACAAUAUCCAUCUCACCCAUUUGUGCAUCAUCGCGUGGGUCCUGCUUUUUGGCUUGUCCCAAGGAGGGGGGCUCGCGUUUUCACACAAACACCCUUUUAAUGCAGUGUAGAAUGUUCUUUUGCGAUGACUCGCAAUAAAUACAACUUUCAACAACGGAUCUCUUGGCUCUCGCAUCGAUGAAGAACGCAGCGAAAUGCGAUACGUAAUGUGAAUUGCAGAAUUCAGUGAAUCAUCGAAUCUUUGAACGCACCUUGCGCCCCUUGGCAUUCCGAGGGGCACACCCGUUUGAGUGUCGUGACAUUCUCAAAAAGAACCCUUCUUGGUCUUGCGAUCGGGAAAGGCUUUUUUUU